GAACACUAGCAAGCAGGUGUGGCGGCAGCGACAGCCUCCAAAAAGAAAUCCCGCACACGCCAGCCCAACACGCCGAGCUGCAACAGGUAGUAACGUAACUACCGAGGCGUGUGCCAAGUAAGGGAGGGGGCGUUUCCGGCUGGUACCACGUGACUGAUUCAGGAAGUGGUUCGGAUUUUGCCGCGAGUUUUGACAGCGAUAUAAACUCCCCAGGCUCCAUUCAAAAUGUGAUUGUUUGAUGGAGAGUUGCGGUCAGUGAGAGUCUGGAGACAGUUUGGAGACAGUUUGGAUAGAGUUAGAGAUAGUUUGGAGAUUUAGGAGAGUCAGGAGAGAAUGGAGACAGCUAAGAAGAGGAGGAUGUCCCCUGUGGGGGAACAUUUUGAUCUCAUUUCUCCCAACAAGGGAGCUGGAGUAUAACAACAACACCUCAUCCAUGUUUAGGCACUACAGAGCUUUGCAUGACAAUAAGGACAACACCAAAUGUGGACCAAGACCAGGAGAAAAAUCUCAAAUAGAUGAAGACCUGGUUAGCAUGGUGAUUGAGGACACCCAGCCAUUUAGUAUUGGGAAGGACAAAGGAUUUAAAGAUUUGUUAAAUCUUUAAAUCCUAGCUAUGAUCUCCCCACUGAGAAGGCCCUGAAGGCCAUGGUGGAGGCCAGGUACCAGGAGAUGAAGGAGAAAGCUAAGGCCAGCAUGGAGGAGGCAGCAGCUGUGAGUCUGACACCAGAUAUGUGGACCUCUAUCAACACACAAGCUUAUCUUGUUGUCACCUGCCAUUUUGUUGAUGACUCCAGCACAUUAAAUACUGUUGUUUUGGGAGUGCAACGUUUUCCCAAGGCGCACACUGCAGAAAAUAUUGCACAAGUGAAAGGCUCACUCAUGAGGGAAUGGGCUAUUACUGAAAAAGUCACAUGCCUUGUAACAGAUGGGGCUGCCAAUAUGGGGGCUUGUGCAAGGGAACUACGGCUCACACAUGCCAUAUGUGUAGCUCACACCCUUAACUUAGUGGUGAAGAAGGCCCUGGACCAGACCCCUGAGCUCUCUGACAUCCGAGCCAAGUCCAGGAAGAUAGUGGGAUAUUUCAGGAGCAGUACCUCUGCAAAGGAGAGGCUUGCAGUGGUGCAGACCGACACACCGCACAGCGCGCUAUAUAAACCUGUCUGCAUUAGCAGCUCAUGAUGCGGCUGCCCUACAGGUGUAAGGGGCGUGUCAUCCCUAACGCGACUUUUUCACACCCACCCUGAGGAAACAACAUGCGAACAACCGCCCAGUUACAGGAAUAAAAGGCAAUGAGGAGAAAACUGAGGAAAGAGGACUUUCACUUUCACCUCAUCAUGUAGCUCUGAUCUGGACUCUUUGAAUCCACAUCUCUGUUCAUUUUGUUUAUAUGUUGCUUAGUUGGGUGUGGGCCAAUAAAAAUGAAUGUUUUUCUAAAAAGCAUCUAUAAAUUAUAGAAUGUUGAGCACACGGUCCAUUUGCUGUUUAUUGUAAUAGAAAGUGGCUUGAAAUUGAAACUGAUCUCUAACCACGUUCUCCUUGAAGCUGCAGUGAGAGAGGAAAACACUGCAACUAAACACACACACAGUCACGGAGAUUCAGAGGAAGAGGAGGAAACUAAAGUCAAUGGAUGUUGA